GACAGAGGGUGCAAACGUUGUUCGGAAUUACUGGGCGUAAAGCGCGUGUAGGCGGCCCUGCAAGUCGGAUGUGAAAUCCCACGGCUCAACCGUGGAAGUGCAUUCGAAACUGCAGGGCUAGAGUCCUGGAGAGGAAGGUGGAAUGCUUGGUGUAGAGGUGAAAUUCGUAGAUAUCAAGCGGAACACCGGUGGCGAAGGCGGCCUUCUGGACAGUGACUGACGCUGAG
rnacentral:rRNA from 1 species